rnacentral:rRNA from 1 species
CGGACGAGUAAAGCGGCGAGAGGGUGAGUAACACGUAACCAACGUACCCCUCAGAUCGGGAUAACCACUGGAAACGGUGGGUAAUACCGAAUGGUCCCCGGAAGGACAUCCUUCCGACGGUAAACGGUGGCUUCGGCUGCUGCUGGGGGAGCGGGUUGCGGCCUAUCAGCUUGUUGGUGGGGUAAAGGCCUACCAAGGCAAUGACGGGUAGCGGGUCUGAGAGGAUGAUCCGUCACACUGGGACUGAGACACUGCCCAGACUCCUACGGGAGGCUGCAGUCGAGAAUCUUCCACAAUGGGCGAAAGCCUGAUGGAGCGACGCUGCGUGCAGGAUGAAGGCCUUAGGGUUGUAAACUGCUGUCACGCUAUAGGAAACCGCUGUGGUUAAUAGCCUCAGCGCUGACCAAAGCGAGAGGAAGUGCCGGCUAACUCCGUGCCAGCAGCCGCGGUAAGACGGAGGGCGCAAGCGUUGUUCGGAAUCACUGGGCAUAAAGAGCACGUAGGCUGUUAGUUAAGUCGGAUGUGAAAGCCCUCGGCCCAACCGGGGAACUGCAUUCGAUACUGGCUGACUCGAGGACAGGAGGGGUGAGUGGAACUCCAGGUGGAACGGUGAAAUGUGUAGAUAUCUGGAGGAACACCGGUGGCGAAAGCGGCUCACUGGCCUGUCUCUGACGCUGAGGUGCGAAAGCUAGGGGAGCGAACGGGAUUAGAUACCCCGGUAGUCCUAGCCGUAAACGAUGGGCACUAGGCAGCGGGCCUUCCUAUGGGGUUCUCUGCCGUAGCUAAUGUGUUAAGUGCCCC